UACGUAGGGACCAAGCGUUGUUCGGAUUUACUGGGCGUAAAGGGCGCGUAGGCGGCGCGGUAAGUCACUUGUGAAAUCUCUGAGCUUAACUCAGAACGGCCAAGUGAAACUGACAUGCUAGAGUGCAGAAGGGGCAAUCGGAAUUCUUGGUGUAGCGGUGAAAUGCGUAGAUAUCAAGAGGAACACCUGAGGUGAAGACGGGUUGCUGGGCUGACACUGACGCUGAGGCGCGAAAGCCAGGGGAGCAAACGGG
rnacentral:rRNA from 1 species